UUGGUUCAAGGACGCACCUAAAACCUGCAGGGACACUAGCCAUCGAGGCCUGCUCACCCCUGGUCUAGAAUGAACAUGGCAGCAGAUCUGAACAAAACCAGAACACAAGCAAUGAGGAAUAUCCCAAAAUUUCUCCACAGCUAUGUGAGAAACUGAUAAGAUACAGAAGACGGAUAGAUAGAUCCCUCGGAUUUUUUAUGGGAGUGUGAACAUAUAGGGUUAGGUUGCUACGAUAAGAAUUUAUAGCUGACACUGGGUUAUUUCUGAGUAAAGUAUACCGGUGAGGACGGAGUGCAGCUCAAACUAUCACAUCACACUGGGCAUACAAACAAAAAGGAGAAGAACAGAUCCACAAACUAUCCUCUGUGACAUGUGUGCAGAGGACAGGAAACCAGCAAAGAAGACGUGCAUGAAGUGUGAGAUCUCAAUGUGUGUCCAGCACCUCCAGCCUUUACCACCACUUGAAAAGGUGGAGGUGUUGUGGAACUUUGAUGUCUCCUCACUCUUCUUCUACAGCAGAACCAGACAGCACCAGAGGGAAGAAAUAAUAACUAUGGAGAUGAGCCUGAACAACAAGGAACUGACUCCAUUUGUACGACUGGGAAAGGAAAAUGUCCAAAACACGACCCAGAAGCAAGAAUGGAAGUGCUCAUGUGGGAAAGCUUACUACAGGGAUGGUAAUGGAUACAGAAAUAAUAUGUCCCGCUUUUCUUCCCAGGCUAAUUGUUCUUGUGGAAAAAUGAUUGGUGGUCCAUGUGUCACAGAAAUGGUUUGUAAACUCUGUUAAUUCAAACUCUGCUGAUCAUUUAGUCAUUUUCUGUCCCUGUAUGAAUAUCAAUGUAACUGACUGUCUUUCACAUUCAUAAACUGUGAAGACAUUGUGCUGCUUCAGUGAUUAACUUGUUGUGCGAUGUAUCACAUAUGAAAGUAAUGUAAAUUAAAAAAGUAAAACAAUUUUGUUUUUUUGUUAAUUAAAAUAUUCUUAGCUCCAGUGUUUGCUUUAAAUGUAGCAACAAAUUCUUUUAGUUU